rnacentral:rRNA from 1 species
UACAGAGGUCUCAAGCGUUGUUCGGAUUCAUUGGGCGUAAAGGGUGCGUAGGUGGCGGGGUAAGUCAGGUGUGAAAUCUCGAGGCUCAACCUCGAAACUGCACUUGAUACUGCCUUGCUCGAGUACUGGAGAGGAGAUUGGAAUUUACGGUGUAGCAGUGAAAUGCGUAGAGAUCGGGAGGAACACCAGUGGCGAAGGCGGUCUCCUGGGGUUAUCUUGACGCUGAUGCGCGAAAGCUGGGGGAGCGAACGGG